rnacentral:rRNA from 1 species
CCUACGGGAGGCAGCAGUGGGGAAUAUUGCACAAUGGGGGGAACCCUGAUGCAGCGACGCCGCGUGAGUGAAGAAGUAUUUCGGUAUGUAAAGCUCUUUCAGCAGGGAAGAAGAAAGACGGUACCUGACCAAGAAGCCCCGGCUAACUACGUGCCAGCAGCCGCGGUAAUACGUAGGGGGCAAGCGUUAUCCGGAUUUACUGGGUGUAAAGGGAGCGUAGACGGAGGAGCAAGUCUGAUGUGAAAAUCCGGGGCCCAACCCCGGAACUGCAUUGGAACCUGUUUAUCUAGAGUGUCGCAGAGGCG